AUGGAGUACGCCCAAAGAGCUGAACGGCGUGCAACUUUUCUUCCUUUCUCGUCUCUUCCAUGUCCUGAAGAAAUAUACCAUCACUCAUUCGCACCAUCCAUCACAAACAUGUCUUGCCAUCUAAGAUCUACAAGUCUGCCUUCUAGGCCUCAUUUUAGUGAGAUCAAAGCAGAAGAAGAGUUGCACAGCCUAAAAACACACUUCUGUAGGCAGCCCGCUAGCAUCGUCACACUGAGUGAUGGUUUGAGGAAGCUUGCACAAGUCUACAACUGUGUUGAGGAGAUUGUGCGCUUGCCAAGGAACCAAGUUGACCUCUGCUUGCCCCAGCAAAAGAAAAUGGUAGAGAAAGAACUGGAACAGUCCCUUGUGCUGCUUGAUAUCUGCAAUGCUAUGCAAGAGAACUUUGCCGAGUUGAAGAUGAGCAUCCAAGAGCUGCAACUAGUCUUUAAAAGAGGAGAUCAUGCCACUGCCAAUCUCAAAAUUGACUCUUUCUUCCGUUCAGCAACGAAUAUGCAAAAGCAUUUCAAGAAAUACAGCAGCAAAGCUACUCCUGAAGGUCUCAGCCUUGUCAGGCUACUAGUAGAAGCCAGAGAGAUAGCUGUCUCCCUGAGGUGUUGA
rnacentral:rRNA from 1 species